AGAGUUUGAUCCUGGCUCAGGAUGAACGCUAGCGACAGGCUUAACACAUGCAAGUCGAGAGGGCAGCGGGAGGCGUAGCAAUAUGCCUGCCGGCGACCGGCGCACGGGUGAGUAACACGUAUGUAACCUGCCCUAUGCAGGGGGAUAACCCGGAGAAAUCCGGCCUAAUACCGCGUAACACCUUAGGGGAGCAUUCUCUUGAGGUUAAAGGAGAGAUCCGGCAUAGGAUGGACAUGCGUCGCAUUAGGUAGACGGCGGGGUAACGGCCCACCGUGCCGACGAUGCGUAGGGGUUCUGAGAGGAAGGCCCCCCACACUGGUACUGAGACACGGACCAGACUCCUACGGGAGGCAGCAGUGAGGAAUAUUGGUCAAUGGCCGAGAGGCUGAACCAGCCAAGUCGCGUGAGGGAAGAAUGUCCUAAGGAUUGUAAACCUCUUUUGUCGGGGAGCAAAAAGGCUCUGCGGAGUCGUAUUGAGAGUACCCGAAGAAAAAGCAUCGGCUAACUCCGUGCCAGCAGCCGCGGUAAUACGGAGGAUGCGAGCGUUAUCCGGAUUUAUUGGGUUUAAAGGGUGCGCAGGCGGCGUGUCAAGCAAGCGGUAAAAUAGCGGGGCUCAACCCCGUCGAGCCGUUUGAACUGGCGCGCUUGAGUUCAGGCGAGGUAGGCGGAAUUCGUGGUGUAGCGGUGAAAUGCAUAGAUAUCACGAAGAACUCCGAUUGCGAAGGCAGCUUACCAGUCUGCGACUGACGCUCAGGCACGAAAGUGUGGGUAUCGAACAGGAUUAGAUACCCUGGUAGUCCACACAGUAAACGAUGAGCGCUAGGUGUCCGGGUCGCAUGAGACUUGGGUGCCCGAGCGAAAGCGUUAAGCGCUCCACCUGGGGAGUACGCCGGCAACGGUGAAACUCAAAGGAAUUGACGGGGGCCCGCACAAGCGGAGGAACAUGUGGUUUAAUUCGAUGAUACGCGAGGAACCUUACCCGGGCUCAAACGACUCAGGAAUAUAUUGGAAACGAUGUAGCCAGCAAUGGUCUGAGUCGAGGUGCUGCAUGGUUGUCGUCAGCUCGUGCCGUGAGGUGUCGGCUUAAGUGCCAUAACGAGCGCAACCCCUACCGCCAGUUGCCAACGGGUAAAGCCGGGAACUCUGGCGGGACUGCCGGCGCAAGCUGCGAGGAAGGCGGGGAUGACGUCAAAUCAGCACGGCCCUUACGUCCGGGGCGACACACGUGUUACAAUGGCAGGUACAGCGGGAAGCCACCUGGUGACAGGGAGCGGAACCCGAAAGCCUGUCUCAGUUCGGAUUGGAGUCUGCAACUCGACUCCAUGAAGCUGGAUUCGCUAGUAAUCGCGCAUCAGCCAUGGCGCGGUGAAUACGUUCCCGGGCCUUGUACACACCGCCCGUCAAG
rnacentral:rRNA from 1 species